CCCUACGGGGGGCAGCAGUAGGGAAUCUUCCACAAUGGGCGAAAGCCUGAUGGAGCAACGCCGCGUGGGUGAAGAAGGUCUUCGGAUCGUAAAACCCUGUUGUUAGAGAAGAAAGUGCGUGAGGGUAACUGUUCACGUUUCGACGGUAUCUAACCAGAAAGCCACGGCUAACUACGUGCCAGCAGCCGCGGUAAUACGUAGGUGGCAAGCGUUAUCCGGAUUUAUUGGGCGUAAAGGGAACGCAGGCGGUCUUUUAAGUCUGAUGUGAAAGCCUUCGGCUUAACUGGAGUAGUGCAUUGGAAACU
rnacentral:rRNA from 1 species